GCUAAGGACAUAAAUGAUCUGAAUG
rnacentral:piRNA from 1 species